GACGAACGCUGGCGGCGUGCUUAACACAUGCAAGUCGAACGGAAAGGCCCUGCUUUUGUGGGGUGCUCGAGUGGCGAACGGGUGAGUAACACGGGAGUAACCUGCCCUUGACUUUGGGAUAACUUCAGGAAACUUGGGCUAAUACCGGAUAGGAGCUCCUGCUGCAUGGUGGGGGUUGGAAAGUUUCGGCGGUUGGGGAUGGACUCGCGGCUUAUCAGCUUGUUGGUGGGGUAGUGGCUUACCAAGGCUUUGACGGGUAGCCGGCCUGAGAGGGUGACCGGCCACAUUGGGACUGAGAUACGGCCCAGACUCCUACGGGAGGCAGCAGUGGGGAAUAUUGCACAAUGGGCGGAAGCCUGAUGCAGCAACGCCGCGUGCGGGAUGACGGCCUUCGGGUUGUAAACCGCUUUCGCCUGUGACGAAGCGUGAGUGACGGUAAUGGGUAAAGAAGCACCGGCUAACUACGUG
rnacentral:rRNA from 1 species